UGGAGUCUUAGGAAUUCAAUCAGACCCCUGGUUUAGUCCUACAGAGAUUAUCGGCUCAGCCACUCUAAACUCUGUUUCAAAAUGAAGGAUUAUCCAUGAUGGCGACAAUGGAAACACUAAUCUCAAGCCUAUGUAAAAUACCAUCUUGAGUAGAUACGUUUAGCCAAUUCAUCCAAACACCAGCAACAUGCCACCAGGUCAAGAAAGAUCCAGAUGGAGAAGCUACUUCAAUGUCUUCGCCAACAUGUGGGAGCUGUGAAGAUAUUCAAAUUAAAACUCCCUACAGCUUCUCCACCACCUGCUGUCUGCUGCUCAGCAUCGUUACAGUUUGCAGACCGUUCGCUGAGAAAAGCAGAGAUGCUUCUGCACCACCAAACAUGGCUGCCGUUUCCACAGGACGUGACGUGGGGUGCCAACUGCUGCCAUGGAGGAACGUCAUCAAGAAUCAAAAAAAAGAUUUCCAGAUGCCUUCAAAACAAGUGUUUGUGAUUUCUUAUUUUGCAAAAUUUGAAACAUAAUUCUGCUUAAAUAUGAUGCUGUAUUAAUAUAGAUCAGCCAUUUCCAGACUUGCAAAUUCAAAGGCCGACUUUCAAGUCUCAAAAUCUCCUGUGGCACACGAGGCUAAGACGUUUACUGCUCCCAAAAUUUUUAAACUUCUUCUGAUUCUUUUGUUGACUCGAGAAAUAAAAGAUAAAAGACUAACACUUAACUUGCAUACUUUGAAGGGCCACCCGAGUGACGCAAAUUAACAUAAAUCAUACCAAGUGCAACAUUAAAAUUUUAUACACACAAAUAAAUCAUUCAUUAUGAUCCAGUAUUAGCAUGUGUAUGACACAUAAUAAUAUGAUGCAUAAUAACUUAAGUAUUUUUAUUUAAUUUAGAUCCUAAAUGUUAUGGACUGUUAAGGAGGAUUAAAACUUUCACUGAAAAAGCCUCUAACUCUUGUUUCGCCACUUUGUAAAACUGUUAUCUAAGAUAAAACAAUGUUAGAACGUUUGCCCGGUGCCUCUUUUUGUGUAAUGUAUCUCUGUUAGGGCACUGAGCUGCAUACUAGUCUCUGACCCUGAGCUGGAUAAGCGGAAGAGAAUGGAUGGUAGGAUAGACGUUCAUCGUCCAGGAAAUCAAAAAAAUAAAUCAUUUUAACUGGAAUUUGUCGUAGUGCUCCUUGGUACAUUUGAAUAUUUCUACAUUUUCACAAGCUGAUUAUGACUGGGAACCAAUAAGAAGAUUUUGUGAGACAUUUCUGUGGAAGCGUUACAUACUGCCUCUGUGGGUGCCUGUAUAGCGUACAAGCUAUAAGCCUCCUGUCCCUUAGCUGUCAGCUCAGAGGGUUUCCUGUCUGUACAAUCAGGGUUGAAGCCGAGCGAAACCAUCUGCAGCACAGAGAAUCCCCCGAGCACCCGCACACUUUACUCACAUGGUCUAGUUUUUGUCCUCAUUACUGCUGAAGACAGCAUGUGGAGGGAACCCCGGGCCCUGGGCAUGUGUCGUUUUUUUACCUUGGAGUGUUUACAGAGCAACAACGCGUCUGUUUCACAUCCAGAGUUCAGGCUCACUUUCCUACUACAACCUUGUUAUUAUCCUCCUAAUUAGACUCACUGAUGCUUUGCUUUGUUUUGAAGCGUUGAAAAGUGAACAAUGUGGCACAAAUUAAUGCAGAAUUCUACUUCUAAAUGCUUUAAAAUGCAGUUUUAACGGGCCAGAACCCCUAUAUCGACAACUGCAGUCCUGCUAGAUAACAUUGGGAUCUAAACUUAUCCAUUUAUGGAUAUUUUUCAUCGAGUAAUAGACCCUCUCGCCCUCCAAAAAACAACCCCCCCCCGAAUAGCCAGUGUUUCAAUUACAAAAUGUUCAAGAAUGAGGAAAUUAUGGUGUUUAGCUUCAAUGUCCAUAGAAGGGUUGAAGACUAAAAAACAUUAAGAACUAGUAGUCUAAUCCAUAAUCACCAAAAUAUGACAAAAUUGGUGAUAUUUCAAUUAAACAGACUUAUGAUGUACUCGAAACACCACUUCAAUGUCCAUAGAAGGAUUGAAAACCUUAACAAUAAUAAUAAUAAUAAUAACAAUAAUAACAAUAAUAAUAAUAGCAAAAGUGGACUUUACAUUUCCACCUUUUGAGCUUUUGCCUUGUGUCUUAUUGUCUUAUUAUUU
ensembl:lncRNA